rnacentral:rRNA from 1 species
UAAUAUGGUCAUACCAAGGUGGAAACGCCUCUUCUCGUCUGAUCACGGAAGUUAAGCGUCUUCGGGCUUGGUUGGUACUUGGAUGGGGACCGCCUGGGAAGACUAAGUGUCGUAUUUC